GUGGCAAGCGUUGUCCGAAUUUAUUGGGCGUAAAGCGAGUGCAGGCGGUGCCAUAAGCCUGAUGUGAAAACCCUCGGCCCCACCGGAGAAUUGCAUCAGAAACUGUUGAACUUGAGUGCAGAAGAGGAGAGUGGAACUCCAUGUGUAGCGGUGGAAUGCGUAGAUAUAUGGAAGAACACCAGUGGCGAAGGCGGCUCUCUGGUCUGCAACUGACGCUGAGGCUCGAAAGCAUGGGUAGCGAAC
rnacentral:rRNA from 1 species